rnacentral:rRNA from 1 species
AUACAGAGGGUGCAAGCGUUAAUCGGAAUUACUGGGCGUAAAGCGCGCGUAGGCGGUUUAAUCAGUCGGAUGUGAAAGCCCCGGGCUCAACCUGGGAACUGCAUUCGAUACUGUUAAGCUAGAGUAUGGUAGAGGGAAGUGGAAUUCCAGGUGUAGCGGUGAAAUGCGUAGAUAUCUGGAGGAACAUCAGUGGCGAAGGCGACUUCCUGGACCAAUACUGACGCUGAGGUGCGAAAGCGUGGGGAGCAAACAGAAUUAGAUACCCCAGUAGUCC